GCAUAUCAAUAAGCGGAGGAAAAGAAACUAACAAGGAUUCCCCUAGUAACUGCGAGUGAAGCGGGAAAAGCUCAAAUUUAAAAUCUGGCAGUCUUUGGCUGUCCGAGUUGUAGUCUGGAGAAGUGUUUUCCGCGCUGGACCGUGUACAAGUCUCCUGGAACGGAGCGUCAUAGAGGGUGAGAAUCCCGUCUUUGACACGGACUACCAGUGCUUUGUGAUGCGCUCUCAAAGAGUCGAGUUGUUUGGGAAUGCAGCUCAAAAUGGGUGGUAAACUCCAUCUAAAGCUAAAUAUUGGCGAGAGACCGAUAGCGAACAAGUACCGUGAGGGAAAGAUGAAAAGCACUUUGGAAAGAGAGUUAAACAGUACGUGAAAUUGCUGAAAGGGAAACGCUUGAAGUCAGUCGCGUUUGCUAGGACUCAGCCUUGCAUUAGCUAAGGUGCACUUCCUAGUAGACGGGCCAGCAUCACUUUUGGCUGCGGGAAAAAGGUCAGAGGAAUGUGGCACCUCCGGGUGUGUUAUAGCCUCUGGCUGUAUACCGUGGCUGGGAGUGAGGAACUCAGCACGCCUUUAUGGCGGGGCUUCGGCCACCUUCGUGCUUAGGAUGCUGGCGUAAUGGCUUUAAACGACCCGUCUUGAAACACGGACCAAGGAGUCUAACAUGCCUGCGAGUGUUUGGGUGGUAAACCCGAGCGCGUAAUGAAAGUGAAAGUUGGGACCUCUGUCGUGGAGGGCACCGACGCCCGGACCAGACCUUCUGUGACGGAUCCGCGGUAGAGCAUGUAUGUUGGGACCCGAAAGAUGGUGAACUAUGCCUGAAUAGGGUGAAGCCAGAGGAAACUCUGGUGGAGGCUCGUAGCGAUUCUGACGUGCAAAUCGAUCGUCAAAUUUGGGUAUAGGGGGCGAAAGACUAAUCGAACCAUCUAGUAGCUGGUUUCCUGCCGAG
rnacentral:rRNA from 1 species